UACGGGAGGCAGCAGUGAGGAAUAUUGGACAAUGGGCGCAAGCCUGAUCCAGCCAUGCCGCGUGCAGGAUGACGGUCCUAUGGAUUGUAAACUGCUUUUGUACAGGAAGAAACACUCCCUCGUGAGGGAGCUUGACGGUACUGUAAGAAUAAGGAUCGGCUAACUCCGUGCCAGCAGCCGCGGUAAUACGGAGGAUCCAAGCGUUAUCCGGAAUCAUUGGGUUUAAAGGGUCCGUAGGCGGUUUAAUAAGUCAGUGGUGAAAGCCCAUCGCUCAACGGUGGAACGGCCAUUGAUACUGUUAAACUUGAAUUAUUAGGAAGUAACUAGAAUAUGUAGUGUAGCGGUGAAAUGCUUAGAGAUUACAUGGAAUACCAAUUGCGAAGGCAGGUUACUACUAAUGGAUUGACGCUGAUGGACGAAAGCGUGGGUAGCGAACAGGAUUAGAUACCCUGGUAGUCCACGCCGUAAACGAUGGAUACUAGCUGUUGGGAGCAAUCUCAGUGGCUAAGCGAAAGUGAUAAGUAUCCCCCCUGGA
rnacentral:rRNA from 1 species